rnacentral:rRNA from 1 species
UACAGAGGGUGCAAGCGUUGUUCGGAAUUAUUGGGCGUAAAGCGCGUGUAGGCGGCUUUGCAAGUCGGGUGUGAAAGCCCUCAGCUCAACUGAGGAAGUGCGCCCGAAACUGCAUGGCUUGAGUGCCGGAGAGGGUGGCGGAAUUCCCCAAGUAGAGGUGAAAUUCGUAGAUAUGGGGAGGAACACCGGUGGCGAAGGCGGCAUCCUGGACCAACACUGACGCUGAGUGAGCGAAAGCCAGGGGAGCAAACGGG